rnacentral:tRNA from 1 species
GGCUUUAUAGUCAAUAAAAUGAUAUCAGACUGCAAUUCUGAAGUAGUAAAAAUACUAAAGCUU